rnacentral:sRNA from 1 species
AUGUAAAGAUAAAGUGAGAAUGGGGUAUUGGACCACUUACUCUUCUGUUCUUCAAGCAAUCCAUUUUUUCAAUCUUCCAGAUUGGCUGGUCUUCGAUGCAGAGGCAGUAAGCUGUAGAAACAUCAUCAGAUUGUACCAAAAAGAAUGCUUAUUGUUGUGGGUGCACGGAGAAGCAAUGCAUACUGGAUUUAUGCAAAUAUUAAGUUGCAUUUGAGUUCUGUACAAAAUAAUAAAACCCAGUGUUCAUUCAGCUCCACUGGAACUAUGCGGGAAAGGAUGAAAUGCAUCUGAAUUUGCUGUUAUGGGUGGAGAGGGAGCAUAUAUGUUUUGAAGCCAGCUAUACCUAAGGGAAAAAUUAAGGUGAGUAAAUCAGAAUUAGAAAGGUUAAAACUUAAAAGGUUGCAGCUCUUUGUUCAUGUUAUCUCUACCAUGAAUGAAAGGCAGAAAAAAUGACAGCUGCUAUUUAAAUUCUAGAGCAUAUAUUAAUCACCAUCUACAGGAAGGGUUUUCUAAAGAACAAACUUAUUAUCUGUAUAUUGCAUUACACAACAGGUGAAUGAAACAGAUGUGAGAAAGCAAGAAAUACAUCUCAAUCUUUCAAUCAACUCUGUGCUAAAUAGGGUAAUUUCUGGUGUAGUUGAAUAACCAAUAUGUACCUCUCAAAAGCGGCUUCUUUCAUUUCCUAUUUCUAUCCAUCACCACUCUUCAAAUAUUGGAGAAACAAACAUUAAAGAAGGCACUGAACUGACCAAGGAGCUCAAGACAGCAACAGGGGGCUGCGGGCGAAGACAAUCUUUCGGAGCAACUGGGCGUCCCUGUACCUUACCAACAAUCUGCUACUACAUCACCAAUAGAAAUAGAGGGUAGGUUAAUGAAGAAGAAUGCAAGAAAUCAGGCUUCCGUACAAAGCCUGAUGGCAGAGGUUGGAUGCGCAUGUAGCUGCUGAGAUGCAGAUAUCUGCCUUGCUUGGCUGAACUGUGUCGAUCCCUUUGCGUCGCACCACCACCAGAUCGUGUGCUGCGCCGCCGGAUCAACCAACGCCGUCAACCAUGAGCCCUAGGCCACCUAAUCACAGGCAUCCAUCGAUCCGGAAAUGAAGAUGGAGAGGGAGAGGGAGGGGCUGUGCCGGGCGUAGAGGGAGAAGAGUAGAGGGCGGCUCCAGGCUUCCCCCGCUUCAGGGCGGCCGGAUCUGCCGGCGAGGAGGCCGGAGUCACC